GUUUAUCUUUCAGGAAGAUGAUUUUUUGGGAAUACCCAGGUAAUCAGAGCGUGCAAUUUCUAUUGAUCGAACGCCAGACACACGUACACAGAUGACAAUCUACCCGCAGGUGUACUAGUUUAUUGCUGUCAUCACGUAAGGUCGGGUUAUCGAUCGUAAAAUGCAACCAGUGAGCGGCUACACUCAUAAAUGCAACAGCGAAUGGUUGUUCUACAAUGAAUGUAAAAAUAUAAAAACACUACUUGUGCUCCCAGUGCUAUAUAUUUGGUGGAGAUUUCAAACACAAGAUAUACAUAUAUACUCAACAUAGGUAAAAUAUUAAAUCUCAAUGACAGCCGCACACUAGUCCAGGGGCUCAUGGUGCAAACAAACUUCUACACUACUUGCAGAUGAUUGCAUAUAAUCUCAGCGAGAUUAGUCGAGGCUGGUUAUUUUACAUCUUGCACGGACAGGCGAGAAUACAAACUAACGAAUACUAAACAAGUGCACAUUUGUAUGAUUUAUUACUUUGAAGAGUUACAAUGAAAUACAAAGUAAUACCACUUGAUCAGGUUGAGAUGAACUCUAAAAGCCUGCAGGAUUAAUCAUAUGGAGUUCACAAGAAACUUGUUCCGAAUUCAUUACAAUACACGCACAGUUCCACUUCACCAGGGAAUACGUAACUGAACCACAUACAAAAACAUUCUUACUACUCCCGAGAGGUUAAUAAGUGUCUGAUAUCAUCAACCCCAAGACAGGAUGAUAGGGGUGUCUGAUAUCAUCAACCACAAGACAGGAUGAUAGGAGUGUCUGAUAUCAUCAACCACAAGACAAGAUGAUAGGAGUGUCUGAUAUCAUCAACCACAAGACAGGAUGAUAGGAUUGUUAUCUGAAUACAUGUAUAUUAUUGCAGAGAUAUGUAUUUCUAAAAAGAUGCAGAGCGGACGGAAAGAUGGAUAAUUUUCUUUAUAAUAUAGCAUAAAUAUAGUUAUCAUAGCAUAUUAGUGUCCAGAUCAAAAAGAACUAUAUGGCUUUUUUCAAAUUUACGAUUUCUAGGGGAAAUGUGUCAAGUUUCAGGUUAACAUCUAGUAAGGGCUUAUUUCAUCAUGAUGUCAUAAGUAAUUUGUCCAUCCAUUAUGAAAUUAACUGAAUUACAUAAAAAUAAAAUAUUUUGUUGGCAUACAAUUCAAAAUUGUGUGAAAAUACCAAAACUUUUGAAUAGAAAAUGCUGUUUUAUAGCAGUAACAUAUAUCAAACCUGUAGGCAAUCUACUUGUAUACAUAUUUUAUUGUUCAACAAUUAAAAAUAAUUCCAAUA